AGUGAACGCUGGCGGUAGGCCUAACACAUGCAAGUCGAACGGCAGCACAGUAAGAGCUUGCUCUUACGGGUGGCGAGUGGCGGACGGGUGAGGAAUACAUCGGAAUCUACUUUUUCGUGGGGGAUAACGUGGGGAAACUUACGCUAAUACCGCAUACGACCUACGGGUGAAAGCAGGGGAUCUUCGGACCUUGCGCGAUUGAAUGAGCCGAUGUCGGAUUAGCUAGUUGGCGGGGUAAAGGCCCACCAAGGCGACGAUCCGUAGCUGGUCUGAGAGGAUGAUCAGCCACACUGGAACUGAGACACGGUCCAGGCUCCUACGGGAGGCAGCAGUGGGGAAUAUUGGACAAUGGGCGCAAGCCUGACCCAGCCAUACCGCGUGGGUGAAGAAGGCCUUCGGGUUGUAAAGCCCUUUUGUUGGGAAAGAAAAGCAGCAGGUUAAUACCCCGCUGUUCUGACGGUACCCAAAGAAUAAGCACCGGCUAACUUCGUG
rnacentral:rRNA from 1 species